UACGGAGGGGGGCUAGCGUUGUUCGGAAUUACUGGGCGUAAAGCGCGCGUAGGCGGACCUGCAAGUCGGGGGUGAAAGCCCGAGGCUCAACCUCGGAACUGCCUUCGAUACUGCGGGUCUCGAGUCCGGGAGAGGUGAGUGGAAUUCCUAGUGUAGAGGUGAAAUUCGUAGAUAUUAGGAAGAACACCAGUGGCGAAGGCGGCUCACUGGCCCGGUACUGAC
rnacentral:rRNA from 1 species